GAGGCACUGUGCAAACCCCUAGCUUAGGCAGAGGCAGUCCCUGCCCUGAAGAGCUUACAGGCUAUUUUAUGCUCGUUGCACAAGGUGUCUUUGUCUGCCGCUGGCUUUGCGUUUCUUGCAGCCUGUCUAGUGGUUAUGUUUGUUGCCGUCACUUUGCUAAAUUAACUGUAACGUUUUGAACUUAACUCAGAAAAUGUUGUUUAAAAACGAUGGGAGACUCUGAAAGCAAAUCUGCUGGGGCCAGUUUGUGUGUGCUCCUCUCUCCAGGACCCUCUGGGCUGGUCUGAGAGUCACCGAGGUGCUUGUAGCACAGCAGCCCCCUCGCGUUCUCAGUGACGCUCGGAAAUGUAGGCAUCUCGAGCCUCCGCACUUCCUGGCAGGGGGUUGUUUUAUCAUAGACAUUUGCUGUCUCUCUGAGCCGCUUGCAUGUUCUGCUGGAAACAGUGAGUCUCCUCCGUGCGCCGCUGAACCGAUUGUUAGAUGCAAUUCUGGGAAACAAUCCCAGGCUUCUUUCUCAUAAACAGAAACUUGAAAGCGCCUGGGUUCUUUCUUUUCGCAGAGCCAGACUGGGUGAUGCCAAUCUGAUUGGAAAGGACAGAAAAGAGAGCGAGUUGGGGGAACGCCAGGAUGAAGCUACAGCUUGCCCUGCCUGUUUUGGGGCUCCUGCUCUGUGCGGCUGACACCAUGGCGCAGGAUAGCGCUUUCAGAUUGGAGGAUAACCGUAAGUUGAUUUUACCAUCAAUGUUUUUAGCCAUAAUAAACAUCUCAAAAUUGCUGCUGCUAAAAUUGAUCCUACCAAUGCUAACCGCUCAGAGGGAAUUUAAAACAAGGGGCAUCUUUAAUCACUAAGAGCUUAUGCCCAUUUGUCUGAGCGCCCGUAUGAGUGUGAGCGUGCAAGUGUGCAUCUGGGCCUAACCCAGAACCCACUGAAGUCAAUGGGAGACUUUCCAUUGACUCCAGUGGGUGCUGAGCCAGUCCCUACCUGCGUGUCUGCCUCUCUGUGUGUUGGGUCAUAGAAAAUGUCUUUACUUCUUCUUUUUAAAAAUACAGAUCCAGAAAACUUCAUACCUGCUGUAGCAGGGUGGACACCUGCUCCUGCCUGGAAGGGCCUGAGAUAGCCCAGGGAGCAGGCAGCGUGAAGGCUGAGCUGCCUGGGGGAAGUGGCUGCAGCUGUGCCACGCCCCAAUCAGGCCACAGCUGGCCUGUAUAAAGAGGCUGGGAGCUAGAAACUAAGAGUUUCUCUCUGUGUUUAGAGAGAGAAAGGUCUGGCUGUAGGGAGCGAGACAUAGGGUACUUGUAGUGGAGCAGGGGAGCUCCAGCCUGGAAAGCCC
rnacentral:lncRNA from 1 species